AUCCCUAUAGCUCAGUUUUAGAGCAUCAGUCUUGUAAACCGAAGGUCUAUAAUUCGAUCCUACAUGGGGGCA
rfam:Glycine max cultivar Williams 82 chromosome 15, whole genome shotgun sequence.